rnacentral:snoRNA from 1 species
UGUGUAUGAUGAAACCUUGGUAAUGCUGCUGUCUCCCGACUGCUCAGUGGGGAAGCCAACCUUGGAGAUCAAAGUUGGCA